rnacentral:ncRNA from 2 species
GGGACAGGCUAGGGGUGCCCCAAUGGAGGGGCUGAGAGCUGGGUUUCUCCCAGCAACCCUUAGAACCUGAUCCGGGUAAUGCCGGCGGAGGGAAGCCUAUGCGGAAGAAU